UUUACAAUUCGGUCGUUCACCAGGUCAUCUAGCUCUAAGUUAGUAAGCUAGCUGCCUAGUGAAGGGCAACAUUGUACU
rnacentral:pre_miRNA from 1 species